AAUUUGCUAUUAAUGGGUGGCGCAGUAUUCUAGUCGGCUAGUCUAUUCCGAAGGCGGGGCUAAAAAUCCGCUAAAGGGCACAUCGAUGAAGUUCCUUGUGCUGGCUCGCUACGCCCAGUAGUGGGUUGGUGCUGGGAGUAAGGGGGCUGGGGCGACCGCAAUGGCAUGCGGAAUCGACCCUACCUCCGCGGAGACCCUUGUUCGUGGGUAAUCUACGGCAAGGGAUUAAACCUGCAAGGCGGUUCAAAGCUGCGUGCAGUGUAGCCUGCCUUGAGCGGAAAUGGUGGAGGAUAGAUCAGAUCCAUAUUCUAAAUGGGCCCACGAAUAUGGAUUAUUGCUAUAGGAAACCAUUUCUGCAAAAGAGGCUAGGAAUAGACGAUGCCGUUGAGGAAAGCUCCUAGACUGUUCGUAAAGAGGCAGGAUGGGGAUUGCAGUGUGGACUAAGUGGUAAUCUAGCCUCACACUCGGCGACGGUGUGAAUUUUCAGUUAAAGGGAAACCGCCUGGGCGGCGACGCCUAGGUCUGAAAAUGGGAAAUCCUGCUAGACCUAAGCCGCAAACUUAACUCAUCCUGCUGCCACCCAAUUUAAAUUAAAA
rnacentral:sRNA from 1 species